rnacentral:rRNA from 1 species
AUUAUACAGCGAAACUGCGAAUGGCUCAUUAUAUAAGUUAUCGUUUAUUUGAUAGUACCUUACUACUUGGAUAACCGUGGUAAUUCUAGAGCUAAUACAUGCUAAAAAUCCCGACUUCGGAAGGGAUGUAUUUAUUAGAUUAAAAACCAAUGCCCUCCGGGGCUCACUGGUGAUUCAUGAUAACUCCUCGAAUCGCAUGGCCUUGCGCCGGCGAUGGUUCAUUCAAAUUUCUUCCCUAUCAACUUUCGAUGUUUGGGUAUUGGCCAAACAUGGUUGCAACGGGUAACGGAGGGUUAGGGCUCGACCCCGGAGAAGGAGCCUGAGAAACGGCUACUACAUCCAAGGAAGGCAGCAGGCGCGCAAAUUACCCAAUCCCGACACGGGGAGGUAGUGACAAUAAAUACUGAUACAGGGCUCUUUUGGGUCUUGUAAUUGGAAUGAGUACAAUUUAAAUCCCUUAACGAGGAACAAUUGGAGGGCAAGUCUGGUGCCAGCAGCCGCGGUAAUUCCAGCUCCAAUAGCGUAUAUUAAAGUUGUUGUGGUUAAAAAGCUCGUAGUUGAACCUUGGGCCUGGCUGGCCGGUCCGCCUCACCGCGUGUACUGGUCCGGCCGGGCCUUUCCCUCUGUGGAACCCCAUGCCCUUCACUGGGCGUGGCGGGGAAACAGGACUUUUACUGUGAAAAAAUUAGAGUGCUCCAGGCAGGCCUAUGCUCGAAUACAUUAGCAUGGAAUAAUAGAAUAGGACGUGUGGUUCUAUUUUGUUGGUUUCUAGGACCGCCGUAAUGAUUAAUAGGGACAGUCGGGGGCAUCAGUAUUCAAUUGUCAGAGGUGAAAUUCUUGGAUUUAUUGAAGACUAACUACUGCGAAAGCAUUUGCCAAGGAUGUUUUCAUUAAUCAGGAACGAAAGUUAGGGGAUCGAAGACGAUCAGAUACCGUCGUAGUCUUAACCAUAAACUAUGCCGACUAGGGAUCGGACGGUGUUAUUUUUUGACCCGUUCGGCACCUUACGAGAAAUCAAAGUGCUUGGGCUCCAGGGG